rnacentral:rRNA from 1 species
AUUGAACGCUGGCGGCAGGCCUAACACAUGCAAGUCGAACGAGUGGCGGACGGGUGAGUAAUGUCUGGGAAACUGCCUGAUGGAGGGGGAUAACUACUGGAAACGGUAGCUAAUACCGCAUACCAUCAGAUGUGCCCAGAUGGGAUUGGCUUGUUGGUGGGGAAACGGAGCACCAAGGCGACGAUCCCUAGCUGGUCUGAGAGGAUGACCAACCACACUGAAACGGAGACACGGUCCAGAAUCCUAGGGGAGGCAGCAGUGGGGAAAAUUGCAAAAAGGGCGCAAGCCUGAUGCAGCAAUGCCGCGGGUAUGAAGAAGGCCUUAGGGUUGUAAAGUACUUUCAGCGGGGAGGAGUUACCCGCAGAAGAAACACCGGCUAACUCCGUGCCAGCAGCCGCUGUAAUUA